CUGAACUUAAGCAUAUCCAUAAGCGGAGGA
rnacentral:rRNA from 1 species